GUGUGUGCGUACGACCAGGAGGGGCUCCAAGGAGCCAAACCCUAGCUUGAUCAAUACCUUCAAAUUGGAGGAUCAAUUCAAGACCAAAUCAAUGCAUGAACGCGUAUAAACGAUCACCGAGUCAAGAGGAUCGAAAGGUGGAGGCUUGGGAAAGAAGCGGUCAAACGAAUCAAGCACGAGAAGAAAAAGCGUAUUCGGGUGCGAGGAGUAAAUGUGAAAUGGGUAUUAGCAACGCCAUGGAUUAGCGGUUAUAAAAGCAAGGUAUUAAAAACGGGUUGAUAUAUUGACCCGCGCCAGGUAUGUGAAACAGGGUAACACUCAUUUAGAAUAUGUGGUUCAACGAGUGCUAAUAGAAGUCAAAAUAAACAUUUGGUUACUUGAUAAGUAAACCAAAUGUUUAAUAUAGUGAACAUUGCGUUGGGAAGCUUAAUGACUUUUCAAACAAAAUUAUAAGUUAAAAGAGGGAUUUCGGGUCGAAUAUACCUCCAAAAGCCCUUCAUCGUAAAUGAUUGGCUAAACGGACUAAAACGCCCUUAUAAGCUAAAUUGGACAAGCUACCUUUAAAGGUAGUUUUGAAACG